rnacentral:tRNA from 1 species
UGCGAGGUAGAGCAGCGGUUAGCUUGCCAGGUUCAUAUCCUGGAGGUCGGGGGUUCGAUUCCCUCUCUCGCAUCCA